AUACGGGAGUGGCAAGCGUUAUCCGGAAUUAUUGGGCGUAAAGCGUCCGCAGGCGGCCCUUCAAGUCUGCUGUUAAAAAGUGGAGCUUAACUCCAUCAUGGCAGUGGAAACUGUCAGGCUUGAGUGUGGUAGGGGCAGAGGGAAUUCCCGGUGUAGCGGUGAAAUGCGUAGAUAUCGGGAAGAACACCAGUGGCGAAGGCGAUUUUCUGGACUGAUAUUGACGCUGAGAUGCGAAGGCAUGGGUAGCAAAACGGGAUUAGAUACCCCGGUAGUCCAUGCAGUAAACGAUGGGUGCUAGUCGUCGGACUUUUGUUCGGUGUCGUAGCUAACGCGUUAAGCACCCCGCCUGGGGAGUACGGUCGCAAGAUUAAAACUCAAAUAAAUUGACGGGACCCGCACAAGCAGUGGAGCAUGUGGUUUAAUUCGACGCAACGCGAAGAACCUUACCAGCGUUUGACAUUGCUAAGUCGCGAGUUUUAGAG
rnacentral:rRNA from 1 species